CUACGUGCCAGCAGCCGCGGUAAUACGUAGGGUGCGAGCGUUAAUCGGAAUUACUGGGCGUAAAGCGAGCGCAGACGGCUACUUAAGCAGGAUGUGAAAUCCCCGGGCUCAACCUGGGAACUGCGUUCUGAACUGGGUGACUAGAGUGUGUCAGAGGGAGGUAGAAUUCCACGUGUAGCAGUGAAAUGCGUAGAGAUGUGGAGGAAUACCGAUGGCGAAGGCAGCCUCCUGGGAUAACACUGACGUUCAUGCUCGAAAGCGUGGGUAGCAAACAGGAUUAGAUACCCUGGUAGUCCACGCCCUAAACGAUGUCAAUUAGCUGUUGGGCAACUUGAUUGCUUAGUAGCGUAGCUAACGCGUGAAAUUGACCGCCUGGGGAGUACGGUCGCAAGAUUAAAACUCAAAGGAAUUGACGGGGACCCGCACAAGCGGUGGAUGAUGUGGAUUAAUUCGAUGCAACGCGAAGAACCUUACCUGGUCUUGACAU
rnacentral:rRNA from 1 species